rnacentral:rRNA from 1 species
CCUACGGGUGGCAGCAGUGGGGAAUAUUGCGCAAUGGGCGAAAGCCUGACGCAGCGACGCCGCGUGAGGGAUGAAGGUCUUCGGAUCGUAAACCUCUGUCAGCAGGGAAGAACGGUCACUGUGCUAAUCAGCAGUGAAUUGACGGUACCUGCAAAGGAAGCACCGGCUAACUCCGUGCCAGCAGCCGCGGUAAUACGGAGGGUGCGAGCGUUAAUCGGAAUUACUGGGCGUAAAGCUCUCGUAGGCGGUAUGUCAAGUCAAGGGUGAAAUCCCCGCGCUCAACGUGGGAACUGCCUUUGAAACUGGCAAACUGGAGUGUGGGUGAGGAUAGUGGAAUUCCAGGUGUAGGAGUGAAAUGCGUAGAUAUCUGGAGGAACAUCAGUGGCGAAGGCGACUAUCUGGCACAUAACUGACGCUGAGGAGCGAAAGCGUGGGUAGCAAACAGGAUUAGAUACCCUAGUAGUC